AUUGGCAAUUAGUUAAGAAGAGGUAUUAGGAUUUCUUUCUAAAUAUUAACAGUCCCUAACUUACUGCAACAAUCGCCCUUUGGCUUAUACCAGCUGCUGAGGAGCUGGCAAGCUGCAGAAGUGAAUCCCAGAGCAGAGACCAACGCGGGGAAGUAGUCCCAGAGUGGCAACCGGCAUGGGAAGGCAGUCCAGAACAGCGGUCGGUGAGGGGAAGCUGUCCUGGAGCGGUGGCCAGCACAAGGAGGGGCAGUACCGUGCAGAGCGAGUCCCGGAUAAAACUUAUUUUGGAGCAGCUGAGAGCUGGUGCAAAGCAGACUGGAGCGGGGAUGGUUUUUGGACUGGAGUCUGGUGUGAGCAGUCAGACUAUAGGUAGAAGCCCCUGCGCUGAGCUACUGCAAUGUGAUGUUCAUUUGUAAUUUACCUAUGUCUAUCCUUUUAACUAUGUCUUAUUUCUAAUUUAUACUAUGAAUCACUGUAAAGUAAUGCAACUACUUUUCUUUGUUAUUCCUCUUUUUUUGUAGCUAAGAUCUGUACCUAAGUACUUGUACCUAAGAUGGUGCCACAAGAGGUGACAUUGUAAAACUUUUCACUGAAUUCCUGUACUUCUGUACUGGUGUACGUGACAAUAAAGGGUAUUCUGAUUGUAAUUCUA